rnacentral:rRNA from 1 species
UACCCGCAGCCCAAGUGGUGAUCGCUUUUAUUGAGCCUAAAGCGUCCGUAGCCUGUCUGCUAAAUCCCUGAGUAAAUCGGAGGGCUUAACGGUUCGAAUUCCGGGUAGACUGAUAGACUUGGGACUGGGAGAGGCUAGAGGUACUCCUGGGGUAGAGGUGAAAUUCUGUAAUCCUAGGGGGACCACCAGUGGCGAAAGCGUCUAGCUAGAACGGGUCUGACGGUGAGGGGCGAAGCCCUGGGGCGCAAACCGGAUUAGAUACCCGGGUAGUCCAGGGUGUAAACGCUGCUUGCUUGAUGUUAGUCGGGCUCCGAGCCCGAUUAGUGUCGGAGAGAAGUUGUUAAGCAAGCUGCCUGGGAAGUACGGCCGCAAGACUGAAACUUAAAGGAAUUGGCGGGGGAGCACAGCAACGGGUGGAGCGUGCGGUUU